rnacentral:rRNA from 1 species
AGGACGAACGCUGGCGGCGUGCUUAACACAUGCAAGUCGAGCGGUAAGGCCUUUCGGGGUACACGAGCGGCGAACGGGUGAGUAGCACGUGGGUGAUCUGCCCUGCACUCUGGGAUAAGCUUGGGAAACUGGGUCUAAUACCGGAUAUGACCGCAUGCCGCAUGGUGUGUGGUGGAAAGAUUUAUCGGUGCAGGAUGGGCCCGCGGCCUAUCAGCUUGUUGGUGGGGUAAUGGCCUACCAAGGCGACGACGGGUA